rnacentral:rRNA from 1 species
CCUACGGGGGGCAGCAGUGGGGAAUCUUGGGCAAUGGGCGCAAGCCUGACCCAGCAACGCCGCGUGAAGGAAGAAGGCUUUCGGGUUGUAAACUUCUUUUAAGAGGGAAGAGAAGAAGACGGUACCUCUUGUAUAAGACACGGCUAACUACGGGCAAGCAGCCGCGGUAAUACGUAGGUGGCAAGCGUUGUCCGGAUUUACUGGGGGUAAAGGGCGUGCAGCCGGGCUGACAAGUCAGAUGUGAAAUCCCGCGGCUCAACCGCGGAACUGCAUUUGAAACUGUCAGUCUUGAGUGCCGGAGAGGUCAUCGGAAUUCCUUGUGUAGCGGUGGAAUGCGUAGAUAUAAGGAAGAACACCAGUGGCGAAGGCGGAUGACUGGACGGCAACUGACGGUGAGGCGCGAAAGCGUGGGGAGCAAACAGGAUUAGAUACCCUAGUAGUC